CAGCCCCUGAAGAUGCUAAUGAGUUUAGCGAAACGUUGGGCAACAAUAGUGGAAUAACUUUGUUUUAUUUGCACUAAAGGAUGCAAGAUCGGACAAGCCUAUUAAAAUAUUAAAAUUUAAAAAACAUAAAUACGAACCGAUCGGAACCAAAAAAUAGAUAUCAUUAAAUUAUUUUUCCUAUUUGUAUAAAAGCGCGGGGUGAAACCCGCGGGUAUAAGCUAGUAUACUUAUCCAACGUUUAACAUAAUCGAGGAAGUACGUUUUGGGAAGUCGAGUGCCAAUGCUCUGGAGAUAAUAACUUCAGACAAAGUUUUAGACUGAAUAGCAGUGCUUUUAAAGAAUUAUGCAGUUUUCUGGAUCACCUAAAGAGAAAGGAAACAAGAUUCCAUAAUACCAUCUGCUUGGAGAAACGAGUUGCCAUCGCCCUAUAUGCUCUUGGGUCCUCAGCGGAAUAUCGUAGCAUUGCGAACUUGUUUGGAGUGGCCAAAUCAACAGUAUGCGCAGCUCUCUUGGAAUUUUGUAGGGAAGUGUGGAAAGUGUUACACCCAAUGUAUUUCAACCACUUUCCCCUAAGUAGAGAAACAAUUGAAGACUGUGUUAAUGGGUUUAAACACAUUGGAUUCCCAAAGUGUAUGGGUGCUCUUGAUGGAUGCCACAUAGAAAUUCAUCCCAGACAGGAAGAAGCAGUGGAUUAUAUAUAAAGGAUGGUAUUCUACAGUGUUACUAGCACUUGUUGAUGCAAGAUAUCGUUUUUUAUACAUCAACGUGGGAAGUCCAGGAAGAUGUAAUGACUCCCAAAUCUUUGAAAAGUCCAGCUUAAAAAGGGAACCGGAGAACUGCUCACUUCUGAACACAAUGAGUACAAAUUUAGGAAAUUUUGACAUCCCAGUUGUCAUUCUUGGAGAUUCUGCCUUUCGUUUUUCCAAAUAUUUAAUGAAGCCUUUUCCAUUCAGUUUGGAUACGACGCCUGCACAAAAAGCUUUCAAUUACCAACUUUCAAAAUCUCGUAGACUGGUUAAAAAUGCUUUUGGGCAAUUGAAAGCAAGGUUUCGCCGGAUCGGAAAAGGAAUUGAUAACAGAAUUGAUAAUGCAAAUUCUAUUAUAAAGGCUUGUUGUGCCUAGCACAACUUUUUAAUAGCAGAAAAUGACCUAGUUAUACCUUCUUGGCUUAACGAGCAGCACGCUAAUGAUAUUAGGAGAAGACAACCACAAUCCGUGGACUCGCACCAAACCUUAGCAGAAGCGGAAUCAAUAAGGAAUGCGUUCUGUUCAUAUUACAAUCUGGUAGAUGUUGCUGCGCUUGAUAUUGAUGGGGGAAGUGUUGCCCCUCCCGAUCCUGACGGCAGUGGUGAUGAACACGACGGUGAUGGCGACAGCU